UCUGGCCUUUUCUCCUACCUGGUCUGUUACGAUUAUUAUUGUUUUUUUUUUUUUUUUUUUUAAUUUUGUUGAAAUAAUAAGAGGAAUUUCCAUUUUUAGUCUGCAAUUCGAUGAUCGGAUCAAGCGGUCUUGUGUUCGAACCGUAAACCAAACCAGUUUGGAAUGAAGAAAAGGUUGGAGUGUCGGGCAUUUGAACAGUUGAAUCUUCAUGAUAAACGUCGACGUUUGCUUUUCUCAUGGUCGGUGCUUUCUUGUAGACGUUAUACUCUGAGGAGAGAGAAUAGUUUGAGACGGUGAUGCGGGGACUUGAACCGAAAUCGAAGAAUAUCCGAGUUCUGGUUAGAAAUGUCUUCGUCUAAUUCUCCGUGUGCGGCGUGCAAGAUUCGCCGGCAAAAGUGUACGCAAGAGUGUGUACUCGCACCCUAUUUCCCACCAGAUCAGCCUCAGAAAUUCGUUAAUGUCCACAAGGUCUUCGGUGCAAGCAAUGUUACAAAGCUUCUCAACGAACUAAAUGCUGCAAAUCGAGAAGAUGCCGUGAAUUCCCUGGCUUAUGAAGCCGAGGCUCGUCUUCGUGAUCCCGUCUAUGGCUGUGUUGGUCUGAUUUCAGUUCUUCAACAAAGACUUAAGCAAGUUCAGAGUGACCUUUUGACUGCCAAAAAGGAACUAGCUGCAUAUAUUGGUCCAUCAGCGAUGUUACCUUUUAUCCAACAUGUCGAGUAUAUGCCACAGCAAUACAUGAGUGAUCCUUCUUCAUCGUCGGUGAUUCCUUAUAAUAUGUCUCCAAUUUUGGGUCUUCCCCCCGGUGCUUCACACAGUGGGCAAUUGGUAAUUCGUGAGCCACAGCCACAGCAAACUCAGCAGUAUCAGCAUCAGCAACAACAGAUCCUUGAGGCUCAGCAAUUAGCUACAGCUAUGGCAGUAAGAGGGCAAGAGAUAUUGAGGACUCAUGAGCAGCAGCUACAGGAACAAAAUCUUAUUCGGUUCGACAGUGGGUUUGACGCUGAUGCUAUGGUCGGUGCUGCAAGUAGUUUCAACCAGAUGACUGAAGCUGUAAUGUCACCAUCUCUGGCUUUGGGUACAUUUGAUGAUGCUUAUCAGCUUGAAGAACAGCAACAAGAGCAUCAGCUUCGGCCCCAGCUGCUGCCUCAGACCCAAAAACAACCUCAACAGCAGCAACCACAGUUACCUCAACAGCAGCGAGGAGUUGGAAGCGAGGAGGGCAGAAGCGUGGGCCCCUCUUGUUAAAUCUUGCAGCUCAUUCUUUUAACAAUUUGUCGUUCAUGGAACUCCCAAAAAGGUGAAAGGAAGUAUCAUCAUUUGGAUCAACAUCAACCAGGUAUGCCAAUGGCUGCUAGCCAUAAAUAGAGGGAUAGAAAAUUCGCUUUGAUUCUGUUCAUAUCUGCCUUAAACACACAAAGUUGGGAAGGAAGGAGAGCAAAAGAGGGUGAUAAGGCACCUUUGGUGAAACAUUCUGAUGGAAGUGUAGGGCACCAUUUCAAGUACGGUUCCUCUUUCUGGUUUAUUUUUGCAUUUGAUUCCCAUUAUACUUUCUUCUUUGCUCAAUCCUUGAGUGGGGUUGGUAAAGGAGAAUUACUAAGAGUAGCGCGUACCAUCUUCGAUUCAAAAAUUUGUAAAUGGCAAUCAAUUUAAAGGAAAGAACUUGUACUUGAGAUCUCUAUGAUCUGUUGAGUAACAGUGCACAAUAACAGUUGCAGAACAGCUUUACAAGAUUGCUGUUAUCGAUCAGGUCAUUUAUUAA